rnacentral:rRNA from 1 species
UGUGAGUUGCGCGAGCCGCGAACGGCUGAGUAAUGGAUAGGAAUCUCCCCAAUGGCGUGGAAUACCUCAUCGAAAGAUGAGCUAAUACCACAUAACCCCGCAAGGGAAAAGCGCUUAACUGCGCGCCGAUGGAUGAGCCUACCUCCCAUCAGGCUGUUGGUAGGGUAAUGGCCUACCAAACCUAUGACGGGUACCCGCCCUGAGAGGGGAAACGGGCAGAAUGGGACUGAGACACGGCCCAUACACCUACGGGUGGCAGCAACAGGGAAUCGUACGCAAUGGACGAAAGUCUGACGUCGCAAUUCCGCGUGGAGGAUGAAGGCCUUCGGGUCGUAAACUCCUUUUAUAGUAAUAGAGAUGUUAUUAAGAAUAAGCACCUGCUAACUCUGUGCCAGCAGCCGCGGUAAUACAGAGGGUGCAAGCGUUAUCCGGAUUUAUUGGGCGUAAAGCGUUUCGUAGGCGGUCAGAUAAGUUAUCUUUUAAAGACCACGGCUCAACCGGGGGAAGGGAGAUAAUACUAUUUGACUUUGGUUGCCGGUGGGGCAUCUGGAACUGAUGGUGUAGUAGUGAAAUACGUUGAUAUCAUCAGGAACUCCAAGGGCGAAGGCAGGACGCUAAUCGGUUAACAACGCUGAGGAACGACAGCUAGGGGAGCGAAAGGGAUUAGAGACCCCUGUAGUCCUAGCCGUAAACUUUGCUCGCUAGAGAUCUUCGGUUUAUACCUGAGGUCCCGCAAGCUAACGCGUUAAGCGAGCCGCCUGGGGAGUACGGUCGCAAGACUAAAACUCAAAGGAAUUGACGGGGACCCGCACGACCAGUGGAGCAUGUGGUUUAAUUCGAGACGAAACGAAGGACCUCACCAAGCUUUGACAUAAUACCGUUUUAAGCACUCAGAAAUGAGAGCCUAUCUUUAGAAAUAUUGAUGGUACUACAGGUGUUGCAUGGCCGUCAUAAGUUCGUGCCGUAGGGUGUUCCCUUCAGUGGGGUAACGAACGAAACCCUUAUCCUAAGUUGAAUAUUCUUAGGAGACUUCCUAAAUUUAUUUUAGGAGGAAGCAGAGGAUGACGUCAGGUCAGCAUGGCCCUUAUAGCUCGGGCCACACACAUGCUACAAUGAAGCCGACAGAGGGUUGCCAAGCCGCAAGGCGGAGCUAAUCCCAUCAAACAGCUUCUCAGUGGGGAUUGGGGGCUGCAACUCGCCCCCAUGAACUCGGAAUUGGUAGUAAUCGCAGAUCAGCUACGCUGCGGUGAAUACGUUCUCGGGUCUUGUACACACCGCCCGUCAAGUGAGUAAAGUUAGAUAUACCUUAAGGACCAUUGUUUGGUUCCAAGGUAGAGCUAGCGACAAGCACUAAGUCGUAACAAGGU